rnacentral:ribozyme from 1 species
CCACUCUGUAACUCCGAACCUUGGCGUGGUGGAGUGGCUCAGUACCUCUCUAAGAGGGAAGCUAAUCGGAG